rnacentral:rRNA from 1 species
GUGGGGAAUAUUGGACAAUGGGGGGAACCCUGAUCCAGCCAUGCCGCGUGUGUGAAGAAGGCCUUUUGGUUGUAAAGCACUUUAAGCGAGGAGGAGGCUACCGAGAUUAAUACUCUUGGAUAGUGGACGUUACUCGCAGAAUAAGCACCGGCUAACUCUGUGCCAGCAGCCGCGGUAAUACAGAGGGUGCACGCGUUAAUCGGAUUUACUGGGCGUAAAGCGCGCGUAGGUGGCCAAUUAAGUCAAAUGUGAAAUCCCCGAGCUUAACUUGGGAAUUGCAUUCGAUACUGGUUGGCUAGAGUAUGGGAGAGGAUGGUAGAAUUCCAGGUGUAGCGGUGAAAUGCGUAGAGAUCUGGAGGAAUACCGAUGGCGAAGGCAGCCAUCUGGCCUAAUACUGACACUGAGGUGCGAAAGCAUGGGGAGCAAACAGGAUUAGAAACCCUGGUAGUCC